AACGGCGGCCGUAACUAUAACGGUCCUAAGGUAGCGAAAUUCCUUGUCGGGUAAGUUCCGACCUGCACGAAUGGCGUAACGAUGGCCACACUGUCUCCAGCCGAGACUCAGUGAAAUUGAAAUUGCGGUGAAGAUGCCGUAUACCCGCGGCUAGACGGAAAGACCCCGUGAACCUUUACUAUAGCUUGACACUGGACUUUGAAUCGAUUUGUGUAGGAUAGGUGGGAGACAAUGAAGCAGGAACGCCAGUUCUUGUGGAGUCGACCUUGAAAUACCACCCUGGUUUAUUUGAAGUUCUAACCUAGGUCCAUUAUCUGGAUUGGGGACAGUGUCUGGUGGGUAGUUUGACUGGGGCGGUCUCCUCCUAAAGAGGUACUCCGGGGAUAACAGGCUGAUACCGCCCAAGAGUUCAUAUCGACGGCGGUGUUUGGCACCUCGAUGUCGGCUCAUCACAUCCUGGGGCUGAAGCAGGUCCCAAGGGUAUGGCUGUUCGCCAUUUAAAGUGGUACGCGAGCUGGGUUCAGAACGUCGUGAGACAGUUCGGUCCCUAUCUGCCGUGGGCGUUUGAGAUUUGAGGGAAGCUGCUCCUAGUACGAGAGGACCGGAGUGGACGAACCUCUGGUGUUCCGGUUGUCAUGCCAAUGGCAUUGCCGGGUAGCUAUGUUCGGACAGGAUAACCGCUGAAAGCAUCUAAGCGGGAAGCCCCUCCCAAGAUGAGAUCUCACUGGGACCAUGAGUCCCCUGAAGGGCCGUCGAAGACUACGACGUUGAUAGGCACGGUGUGGAAGCGCAGUAAUGUGUGUAGCUAACGUGUACUAAUUGCCCGUGAGGCUUGACCAU
rnacentral:rRNA from 1 species